AUGGGGAACAUACUGACCUGUUGUGUGUGCCCCAGGGACAGCCACGAGUUUGACCAGCAACAGGGGUCAGUGUACCCCUCUGAGUCCGAGAUCCAUGAGGCAGGAUCUGGGGACAGGAUGGCAGGAGCGCCCAUGGCUGCUGCUGUACAGCCUGCUGAGAUGACUGUUGAAGUUGGUGAAGACCUCCACAUGCACCACAUCCAUGACCGGGAGAUGCCUGAAGCUUUGGAGUUUAACCCUUCUGCCAAUCCAGAGGCAAGCACAAUAUUCCACGGGAACUGUCAAACAGAUGCUUUAGAGUUUAACCCUUCUGCCAAUCCAGAGGCAGCCACAAUAUUCCAGAGGAACUCUCAAACAGAUGUUGUAGAAAUAAGAAGAAGCAACUGUACAAACCAUAGUGACCUUGGAGAUACAUCAUGAUAUCACACAAAGGUUUCCACCAUGCACAUUACCCAGACAAGAAAUGGAGGUGGGAGUUUAAGUAACUAUUCUUCCUCCAUUCCAUCGACUCCCAGCACCAGCCAGGAGGACCUUCAGAUCAAUGUUCCUCCCACUGCCAAUACACCCACACCCGUUCUCAAGAAGUCCAAGUGCUGGUCCAAGCUGUUUACAUCUUAGAAAGGGAGUGACCCAGACAAAGAGAAGAAAGCCCCGGAGAGUCAUGCUGACACUAUCGGGAGCAGCAGAGCCAUCCCCAUUAAACAGGGCAUGCUCUUAAAGCUAAGUGGGAAAUGGCUGAAGAAAUUGAAAAAGAAAUAUGUCACCUUCUGUGACAAUGGCGUGCUCACCUAUUAUUCAAGCUUAGGUGAUUACAUGAAGAAUAUUCACAAAAAAGAGAUUGACCUUCAGACAUCUACCAUCGAAGUCCCAGGAAAGAGGCCACCCCUAGCCACACUGGUCUGCGCGCCCAUUUCCAGCUCUAAAAGCAAUGGCCUAUCCAAGGACAUGAACAGUCUAUGUACCUCAGCCAAUUCAGACACCGGGCUGGGUGACUCUGUAUGCUCCAGCCCCAGUAUCUCCAGCACCACCAACUCCAAGCUCAACCCACACCCCUCUCUUCAUGCCAACAAAAACAAACACCGAAGGAAGAAUAACACCAACAGCUCGAAAGACGAUAGCCUGUCCAGCACUGCUGAAGAACAAGAAGAAAACUUUAUCAUUGUGUCCCUCACUGGCCAAACGUGGCACUUUGAAGCCACGUCGUAUGAGGAGCGGGAUGCCUGGGUCCAAGCCAUCGAGAGCCAGAUCCUGGCCAGCCUGCAGUCAUGCAAGAGCAGCAAAAGCAAGUUCCGGCUGAUAAGCCAGAGCGAGGCCAUGGUCCCUGCAGUCCAUCCGAAACAUGCCGGGAACUCCCACUGUGUGGACGGUGAGAUCCAGAAUCCUAACUGGGCCAGUUUGAACUUGGGAGUCCUCAUGUGUAUUGAAUGCUCAGGGAUCCACCGUAAUCUUGGCACCCACCUUUCCCAAGUCCGAUCUCUGGACCUGGAUGACUGGCCAGUUGAGCUCAUGAAGGUUUUGUCAUCUAUUGGCAAUGAGCUAGCCAACAGCAUCUGGCAAGAGAGCAGCCAGGGGCGGAUGAAACCCUCAGUAGACUCCACAAGGGAAGAGAAGGAAUGGUGGAUCCAUGCCAAAUACGAACAGAAGCUCUUCCUGGCCCCACUACCCUACAUGGAGCUGUCCCUGGGCCAGCACCUGCUGCAGUCCACCCCAAUGAGGACCUGUGGACAGCCAUCCUGCUGCUGGCACAUGGCUCCCAGGAGGAGGUGAAUGAGACCUGUGGGGAGGGAGACAGCUGCACGGUGCUCCAUCUGGCCUGCCACAAGGGGAAUGUGGUCCUGGCGCAGCUCCUGAUCUGGUACGGGGUGGACGUCAUGGCCUGACAUGCCCACGGGAACACAGCGCUGGCCUACGCCCGGCAGGCCUCCAGCCAGGAGUGCAUCAACGUACUGCUGCAGUACGGCUGCCCUGACGAGCACAUGUAG